rnacentral:rRNA from 1 species
GACGAACGCUGGCGGCAUGCCUUACACAUGCAAGUCGAACGGCAGCGCGGGUGCUUGCACCUGGCGGCGAGUGGCGAACGGGUGAGUAAUACAUCGGAGCGUGCCCUAGAGUGGGGGAUAACUAGUCGAAAGAUUAGCUAAUACCGCAUACGAUCUACGGAUGAAAGUGGGGGACCGCAAGGCCUCAUGCUCCUGGAGCGGCCGAUGUGUGAUUAGCUAGUUGGUGGGGUAAUAGCCUACCAAGGCGACGAUCAGUAGCUGGUCUGAGAGGACGACCAGCCAAACUGUGGAUGAGACACGGCCCAGACUCCUACGGGAGGCAGCAUUGGGGAAUUUUGGACAAUGGGUGCAACCCUGAUCCAGCAAUGCCGCGUGUGUGAAGAAGGCCUUCGGGUUGUAAAGCACUUUUGUCAGGAACGAAACGGUGGGGGCUAAUACCUCCUGCUAAUGACGGUACCUGAAGAAUAAGCACCGGCUAACUACGUGCCAGCCGCCGCGGUAA